CUAUAUUUUCAUGUCUAUAUCUUCAUUUAACAAUGAUUUUCUUAAUAAAAAUGUUUUCAUCCCCUUACCUAAAACUACAUGUUAGACUGAGGCUGGGUCAUUUGAAAACAUUAUAAAAUUUGUGAAUAAAAUAAUACAUGGGACCUGCUUGAUUUCAAACCUGUCAUUAUGUGGCCUUGUGGCCUUGGUUACCAUUCUAGAAUGUUCUUUGUCUUUUGGGGGCAAAGCUUAAGAGAAACAUUUAAGGAAACACCCACUUGGAAGGAAGAACCAAGAGUUGACUCCAUUCCAAGUGAUCCACUACCAAGUAAUCUGGUCACCAUGUUAGCUCCAUCCGAAUGGUGUGUGAGAUGCUGAGGGUGACUGGACACAGAGUGGAGUCCUGCCCAGGAGCACGUGAUAGACGGGACCAGGCAGGCAGCAUUGCAAACCAGCCUCUGCUCCUCUAGCAGAGCGUGUGGCUUGGCAUGGGGGAGUGGUGUCAGUCCAGAGGAAGAGGCACCUCUUAGCAAUCCAUCAGCCAAGAGAGAUGCCUUUGUGUAAUUAUCUUCCCAGAAGACCCAUGAAAUAUCAAACGCUGGACACUUUUCAAAACAAAACAUUUUACAAAACAAAAGACGGCUCAUGAGGACCACCAGUGACCUCGGAGGGGUCAUCAGUAGCUCUUAAGAUCACAUUUUGGAGAAAAGUCGUCAGAUCUAAAGUUACCUAACUUUUAGACUCAGAAUUGAAACAAUUGUGAGCUUUGGGUCAUCAUAUUCUAAGUGAUAUUGUAUGAAAAGUCGUAUAUUAAAGAAUCAAAAUCAUUGUUUCCUUAUGGCCAUUUCUUCUCUGUUACUCUUGAAGGAACGGUGUGAGGCAUCCCACACAUUAGGCAGCCUCAGAAAAAUGGAAGAAAAAUUAGUUCUGGUUUACCCCAGGGAUGCUAGAAAGCCCUGGAACAUGAAGGUCAAACCUGGCACAUUCUCAUUCCCUGAGAUGGACCUCCAAGAUAUCUUUCUUCUUCUAUCUCCACCCUACCAUUGACACAAGCCUU
rnacentral:lncRNA from 1 species